rnacentral:misc_RNA from 1 species
UAAUAAGUGUUUUAUGGCACUUUUUAAAUCCAUAUCCACCUUGUGUGCAAUGUCAGUCGAUCUUCUUCAUGGAGAUCGACCAAACAUCAACCUUUAUUUUUAACUCUUUGUCUGAAAAUAUUAUGAAUAAACAAUUCAAAAUA